ensembl:snRNA U6 U6 spliceosomal RNA
GUGCUCGCUUCGGCAGCACAUAUACUAAAAUUGGAAUGAUACAGAAAAGAUAAGCAUGGCUCGUGGAAAAGGAUGACACACAAAUUAAUGAAGUGUUCCAUAUUUUU